rnacentral:snoRNA from 1 species
CUCCUCUCAGGAUCACACCUGGAGGGUUUGCGGUACUCUACCAGUCCCCGCUACUGGAGGGAGCGUCAAGCAGAGGCCUGUCCAUUCCAUUCCUAGCUUGGGCAGUGGCUAGUGAGUGGAAGGCAAUCUGCUACAAGA